rnacentral:rRNA from 1 species
UACGAGUAGGCCCAGUCGAAAGGAUACGGCGUAGAGGGUGGUUAGGAAAAAAUAAAAAACUAAAGUCGAAAGUCUUCAGUCUGUAAUACGUUCCCGAAGAUGUGAAGCCCCACCACGAAAGUGACUUUAACCUAUUCUGAAUCCACGAAAGCUGAGGCA